ACGAACGCUGGCGGCGUGCUUAACCCCUGCAAGUCGAACGGAAAGGCCCUGCUUUUGUGGGGUGCUCGAGUGGCGAACGGGUGAGUAACACGUGAGUAACCUGCCCUUGACUUUGGGAUAACUUCAGGAAACUGGGGCUAAUACCGGAUAGGAGCUCCUGCUGCAUGGUGGGGGUUGGAAAGUUUCGGCGGUUGGGGAUGGACUCGCGGCUUAUCAGCUUGUUGGUGGGGUAGUGGCUUACCAAGGCUUUGACGGGUAGCCGGCCUGAGAGGGUGACCGGCCGCAUUGGGACUGAGAUACGGCCCAGACUCCUACGGGAGGCAGCAGUGGGGAAUAUUGCACAAUGGGCGGAAGCCUGAUGCAGCAACGCCGCGUGCGGGAUGACGGCCUUCGGGUUGUAAACCGCUUUCGCCUGUGACGAAGCGUGAGUGGCGGUAAUGGGUAAAGAAGCACCGGCUAACUACGUG
rnacentral:rRNA from 1 species